rnacentral:rRNA from 1 species
AUACGGAGGGUGCGAACGUUAAUCGGAAUUACUGGGCGUAAAGCGCUCGUAGGCGGCUUGUUAAGUCGGAUGUGAAAGCCCCGGGCUCAACCUGGGAACUGCAUUCGAUACUGGCAGGCUAGAGUAUAGUAGAGGCAAGUGGAAUUCCGGGUGUAGCGGUGAAAUGCGUAGAUAUCGGAAGGAACACCAGUGGCGAAGGCGACUUCCUGGGCCAAUACUGACGCUGAGGUGCGAAAGCGUGGGGAGCAAACAGGAUUAGAAACCCCAGUAGUCC